UAUCAUGUUCCAUCAGCACACUAUGGUUUAUAUGAUACACAUCUAGUAGUUGACCAACGUUUAUAUUGGCAAAUAGGGUGUUUCCAAGUCCAUGACCUAGUACUACUUAUUUUUUGAGUUUUAAUUGCUAUCUUAUUAGUUUUAACUACUAUAUUUGUUCGAAUCCCACAAAUUAUUCCAACUCAGGGUUAGAAUAUCUUCGAAUAUGUUCUUGAAUUCAUUUGAGACGUGAGUAAAACUCAAUUGGAGAAGAAUAUGGUCCUUGGGUUACUUUUAUUUGAACUAUGUUUCUAUUAUAUUUGUUUCUAAUUGGCCGGCCUCAUGGAGAGUUACCCACACCAACAAU
rnacentral:lncRNA from 1 species